rnacentral:rRNA from 1 species
CACCUGCCGGCGACCGGCGCACGGGUGAGUAACACGUAUGGAACCUGCCCGCCACAGGGGGAUAACCCGGGGAAACCCGGCCUAAUACCCCAUGCCGCCCGGACCGGGCAUCUGGUCCGGGCGAAAGGAGGAAUCCGGUGGCGGCUGGGCAUGCGGCGCAUUAGCUUGACGGCGGGGUAACGGCCCACCGUGGCGACGAUGCGUAGGGGUUCUGAGAGGAAGGCCCCCCACACUGGAACUGAGACACGGUCCAGACUCCUACGGGAGGCAGCAG